UACGAAGGGGGCUAGCGUUGCUCGGAAUCACUGGGCGUAAAGGGUGCGUAGGCGGGUCUUUAAGUCGGUGGUGAAAUCCUGGAGCUCAACUCCAGAACUGCCUUCGAUACUGAGAGUCUCGAGUCCGGGAGAGGUGAGUGGAACUGCGAGUGUAGAGGUGAAAUUCGUAGAGUAUUCGCAAGAACACCAGUGGCGAAGGCGGCUCACUGGCCCGGUAC
rnacentral:rRNA from 1 species